GGGCCCGCACAAGCGGUGGAGCAUGUGGUUUAAUUCGAUGAUACGCGAGGAACCUUACCAGGGCUUAAAUGUAGUGGGACAGGUCUAGAGAUAGACCCUUCUUCGGACUCAUUACAAGGUGCUGCAUGGUUGUCGUCAGCUCGUGCCGUGAGGUGUCAGGUUAAGUCCUAUAACGAGCGCAACCCCUAUCGUUAGUUGCCAGCGGGUAAUGCCGGGAACUCUAGCGAAACUGCCGGUGCAAACCGAGAGGAAGGUGGGGAUGACGUCAAAUCAUCACGGCCCUUACGUCCUGGCUACACACGUACUACAAUGGUAGGGACAAUGAGCUGCGAUCCUGCGAAGGCUAGCC
rnacentral:rRNA from 1 species